rnacentral:rRNA from 1 species
CCUACGGGAGGCAGCAGUGGGGAAUAUUGCACAAUGGGGGGAACCCUGAUGCAGCAACGCCGCGUGGGUGAAGAAGUACUUCGGUAUGUAAAGCCCUUUCAGCAGGGAAGAAAAUGACGGUACCUGACCAAGAAGCCCCGGCUAACUACGUGCCAGCAGCCGCGGUAAUACGUAGGGGGCAAGCGUUCUCCGGAUUUACUGGGUGUAAAGGGAGCGUAGACGGCAAGUGAAGUCUGGAGUGAAAGCCCGUGGCUCAACCAAGGGACUGCUUUGGAAACUGUGUUGCUGGAGUGCAGGAGGGGGUAAGCGGAAUUCCUAGUGUAGCGGUGAAAUGCGUAGAGAUUAGGAGGAACACCGGUGGCGAAGGCGGCUUACUGGACUGUAACUGACGUUGAGGCUCGAAGGCGUGGGGAGCAAACAGGAUUAGAUACCCGUGUAGUC